GACGAACCGUGCGAACGUUGUUCGGAAUCACUGGGCUUAAAGGGCGCGUAGGCGGACCGCCAAGUCCGGGGUGAAAUCGUCCGGCUUAACCGGACAAGGGCCUCGGAUACUGGCGGCCUGGAGGGAGGUAGGGGCACGCGGAACUUCCGGUGGAGCGGUGAAAUGCGUUGAUAUCGGAAGGAACGCCGGUGGCGAAAGCGGCGUGCUGGAUCUCUACUGACGCUGAGGCGCGAAAGCCAGGGGAGCGAACGGG
rnacentral:rRNA from 1 species